rnacentral:rRNA from 1 species
AUACGAAGGGUGCAAGCGUUAAUCGGAAUUACUGGGCGUAAAGCGCGCGUAGGUGGUUCGUUAAGUUAGGAGUGAAAGCCCCGGGCUCAACCUGGGAAUUGCUUCUAAAACUGGCGAGCUAGAGUAUGGUAGAGGGUGGUGGAAUUUCCUGUGUAGCGGUGAAAUGCGUAGAUAUAGGAAGGAACAUCAGUGGCGAAGGCGACCACCUGGACUGAUACUGACACUGAGGUGCGAAAGCGUGGGGAGCAAACAGGAGUAGAUACCCUGGUAGUCCACGCCGUAAACGAUGUCAACUAGUUGUUGGGUUCCUUGAGGACUUAGUAACGCAGCUAACGCAUUAAGUUGACCGCCUGGGGAGUACGGCCGCAAGGUUAAA